rnacentral:lncRNA from 1 species
CUCCCUCUCUUGCCUCUCUCUACAGUGACCUCAGGCAGCAACACUCAUAACAGACAUUAUAAGGAGGGCAGAUAAUUGGGAGAGGACAUGAGGCCAGCCAUUUGUUGAGCAGGUGUGGAGAAAACACUCAUGUACGCCGCCUCUCCUGCUUCUGAAGCAACAAAGAACACGAAGCAUACGCUGCCCAGUGCUGAGACCUCUGCGCCUUGAACAGCAAAGGGAAAAUGUGUUCUGGAGAGCACUGAAGAGAGAGCAGCUGGGGCGCUUCUAAGCAGUGUGAGAUGAUGUGAGGUGCUCCAUGUGAGAUGAUGUGAGGUGCUCCAUGUGAGAUGAUGUGAGGUGCUCCAUGUGAGAUGAUUUGAGGUGCUCCAUGUGAGAUGAUUUGAGGUGCUCCAUGUGAAUUGAUUUGAGAUGCUCCGUGUGAGAUGAUUUGAGGUGCUCCGUGUGAGAUGAUUUGA